rnacentral:misc_RNA from 1 species
AAAUAAAUAUUAAUAAAAUUCUCUUAAUUUUUCUUCACCUUUGUUUGAAAACAUAAUGGUAGAAGGUAGAAAGAAAUCGCAUGAUAACUUCGCCGGCUAAGGGGAGAGAUGACUUGAUGGUGGUGGCAUGAUGCUACCUUGAUUGAUGGUGGUUUCGAUUCGACUGUGAGAAGAGAAGAGAAAUGAGAAAGAGGAUAUGAGAUUUUAG